UUGAAGUCUUGUGGCAUUCUAAGGUGGCUGGUCAAAGCUAGCUUUCUCUCUCAAUUUUAUUUUUCUUUUGAAACAUGCUUGGCAGAGUCCCUUAUUAUUGUUCGCUAUACUUUGUUUAGUAUUAUUGAUUUGGUUUAUCUAGCAAAUAAAAAACAGAUAUGAUUUUAUUAAUGUUUGGCCCUAUGUGACUCACACGUUGAAUGAAUUGAACAGAAUGAAACAAAGGAAGAGAGCUUAAAUAUCUCCAUUCCCGACUCAGAUAGAUUAAAUACAUCCAUGACCGGGAUUCAGAACACGACAACACCCCGGAAUGAAUCCAUUGCUCUUCCCUUGAAUCAAAGUAGACAAGUGCGGACCAAAUUGGAUAAGCUUGAAGCAGGUCUACAAAGAGCUCGAGCCGCCAUAA
rnacentral:lncRNA from 1 species